rnacentral:rRNA from 1 species
ACGCUGGCGGCAGGCCUAACACAUGCAAGUCGAGCGGUAGAGAGAAGCUUGCUUCUCUUGAGAGCGGCGGACGGGUGAGUAAUGCCUAGGAAUCUGCCUGGUAGUGGGGGAUAACGUUCGGAAACGGACGCUAAUACCGCAUACGUCCUACGGGAGAAAGCAGGGGACCUUCGGGCCUUGCGCUAUCAGAUGAGCCUAGGUCGGAUUAGCUAGUUGGUGAGGUAAUGGCUCACCAAGGCGACGAUCCGUAACUGGUCUGAGAGGAUGAUCAGUCACACUGGAACUGAGACACGGUCCAGACUCCUACGGGAGGCAGCAGUGGGGAAUAUUGGACAAUGGGCGAAAGCCUGAUCCAGCCAUGCCGCGUGUGUGAAGGAGGUCUUCGGAUUGUAAAGCACUUUAAGUUGGGAGGAAGGGCAUUAACCUAAUACGUUAGUGUUUUGACGUUACCGACAGAAUAAGCACCGGCUAACUCUAUGCCAGCAGCCGCGGUAAUACAGAGGGUGCAAGCGUUAAUCGGAAUUACUGGGCGUAAAGCGCGCGUAGGUGGUUUGUUAAGUUGGAUGUGAAAUCCCCGGGCUCAACCUGGGAACUGCAUUCAAAACUGACUGACUAGAGUAUGGUAGAGGGUGGUGGAAUUUCCUGUGUAGCGGUGAAAUGCGUAGAUAUAGGAAGGAACACCAGUGGCGAAGGCGACCACCUGGACUAAUACUGACACCGAGGUGCGAAAG